rnacentral:lncRNA from 1 species
GUGAAGGAUAAUGCCAGGGUCAGGAACUAGGAGUAGAUUGAAAGUGAAAUGUGACCAUCUGUUCAGCUACCUCAUAUCCUUGCCACCUUGCUUUCCUCAUGUGAUGGAAUUUCUCCAUAGAUUGCUUUUGGCAAGAACUUUGUCACAAUUGCAAGAAAAAUGAUAAUACAACAUGACCCCAAGCUAGUUCCCUUUCCUCUCAGGUGGGACAAUUCUCCCAUAGACAAAUGAAGCCACUGGACUCUAAUUAUUAAAGUAACUUUUAGGUCUCACAUUGAAACAUUUUAGAAAAAAAACUUACACUUAUG